UGAGGAAUAUUGGUCAAUGGGCGGGAGCCUGAACCAGCCAAGUCGCGUGAGGGAUGACGGCCCUAUGGGUUGUAAACCUCUUUUGCCGGGGAGCAAAGUGCCGCACGUGUGCGGUUUGGAGAGUACCCGGAGAAAAAGCAUCGGCUAACUCCGUGCCAGCAGCCGCGGUAAUACGGAGGAUGCGAGCGUUAUCCGGAUUUAUUGGGUUUAAAGGGUGCGUAGGCGGACGCUUAAGUCAGCGGUAAAAUUGCGGGGCUCAACCUCGUCGAGCCGUUGAAACUGGGUGCCUUGAGUGGGCGAGAAGUACGCGGAAUGCGUGGUGUAGCGGUGAAAUGCAUAGAUAUCACGCAGAACUCCGAUUGCGAAGGCAGCAUACCGGCGCCCUACUGACGCUGAGGCACGAAAGCGUGGGUAUCGAACAGG
rnacentral:rRNA from 1 species